UCUUCGUUUAGGCAAAGUUUCUGGUGUAGGGAGUCUGCACAGGAAAAAGGUAGUACAUUGAACAUGGCAUUCUGUGUUUUCUGUCAAUCCCAUAGCUUUCAGGCAUUGAGUCAUGAUUAUAUUUCUUAUGGUUUUAAACUGCCCCAUCCUGACUCUUGAAAAUAUUGUGCUUUGAUUACGCAAUUAUUCCUGCCCACAUAAGGAUUUGUUAGCAGUGAAAUGGGCUGGAAACAUGAAUAGAUUAGUAUGCCAAAACAGCAAAUAAAACAUUAUGUCUGAAAAAUCUACUACCUGUAUGCAGCAGCCAGAAGAGGAGAGAAAAUGAGAGAUCCGUAAAAGGAGAAAAAAACAAAACUAAUCUUUAAUUGUUUGGGAGAACUUUCUUCUGUCUACCACUGUCCCACCAGUCUCCCAAACUGGUACUUAGCUGAGGAGGAGUUGUGGACCCAUGUGCAGAACUGGUGAAAGCUGGUUCUGAGCUUCUCUGAAAGCCUGUGGUGCUUUUGUGGAAAGGGGCAGUGGCAGGUUGCUGUGGUGAGUCCCAGUGUUUGCACAGCCCUGCUGGGAUAGAGGUUUUGGCUGGUGGGACAGGCUCACCACAUCAUCAACCCUGCUUGGCUGCACUGUGGAGAAGAACAGUUUGACCAGUGUCUGCUUCUAGCUCCCAGUCAAUGUUUUCCUCUUGGAUCAAGUAGUAGAUGAGAAGAAAUAGCUCAAUAAUAUUACGCAAAGUGCCUGCUUUCCACUGAGGCUCCAGUUCACCUGAUACAUGCUCCCAGUAUGAUGCUGGUCACCAACAGCAGGGAAUUCCCUUUUGGGCACAGGGGAAGGAGUGUGCUCAGCCAGUCAGUGCUGGCUCUGAGGACACUUUCCUUCUCACAGAGCAGCAGCAUGGGGUUAACCAUACAAGCCUGAGAUGCUGCCCCUGGUAGAUGAACACUUUUAACUUUCCUCCUGAGAUUGGACUGGUGAAUUGAUGGGGAUGAAGGGAUUUGGGGUGCAGUGCUUGAAAUCAGAGGUCUCUGCUCUCAUAUGUAUAUACCUGGUAAGAUUAAUGGUGAUUUGUGUUGUUUUCAUGCACCUUGAUAGGUGGAGUAAGAGGAGCACCUGGAAGAACAGCUAAUCUGAGAGUAACAACUAAUUGUAACUCCUGCUGUUAUUGAGCUGUGUUGUACUGGCUUCUUGCUAUCAAUAUUUUUCUGGGCGCUGACUUCUGAUCUUGGAGGGGAACAAGUGCAAAACCUGUCCAUGGACAAAGGCACAGCCCAAAUAACUGAUAAGGAACUGGGGUACGUGAAGAAAACUCUCCUUUAUUCAAACAGAAGACAGAGUCAGUUGUAGAGAUUCAUGGUAAAAGGUACUGACUGUGCACCUGAGGUCCUUGGCUCUGCUACACGUGCUGCACACACAUGCUGGCAAACCCUUGCAGUCAUGCAUUUCUACACUUCUGGCUCUACCAAGCCAGCAAGCUGGAAGGGGCCUUGAGGAGCCGCCUGCACCACAGCUGCAAAUGUUACCUAAACCACCCCAAAGUUCUGCUUUCUCCUCUGCAGGGACCUGCCAUGGAAUUGCAAAGUUACUGAACCAGAGAAAAGUCUUAGAGUGCAUGCACUGCUGAAAGAGCAAGGGAAGUCAGGAGAAAGCAAUCUGUAGUGACCCCAUUUGCUAUUUUACUAACUGCUACAUGCUCAGCUUCAAUUUUACACUCCCCUAUCUCCCUCAGCAGCCUGUGUGUUCCAGGCUAUGCUAACCAGCACAUUCAUUCUACAGUGCCAAUUGCUGAGCCACUUGUGCACAUUCAUUUUACAGUGGCAAUUGCUGAGCCACUUGUGCUUCGUAGCAGAACACUGAUGUUUAAUUCUUUUAAUUUAGAAAUGUGCUGUAUAAACUGUUAACUGUUUGCACAUGUGGCUAUUAAUUGUCUUUAAGCAGUCAGUAAACACAUAACCUCAAUACAAUCACUACCCUUGGUCAUGGCAACUGCCUGUGAGGAAAGGCACCUGCUUCCUACUCCCAAAAUUGGAUGCUGUAUAUAAUAAUGUUGUUGAAGUGGUAACACUUUAUUAUUAGUGCCUCUGUUUGCUCACUCUGUACUUUAUAAAGUGGCCAUGACUUAUAGACAGAAAAGUAAUUGA